rnacentral:rRNA from 1 species
AUUGAACGCUGGCGGCAUGCCUUACACAUGCAAGUCGAACGGUAACGGGCCUUCGGGUGCCGACGAGUGGCGAACGGGUGAGUAAUACAUCGGAACGUGCCCGAUCGUGGGGGAUAACGAGGCGAAAGCUUUGCUAAUACCGCAUACGAUCUACGGAUGAAAGCAGGGGACCGCAAGGCCUUGCGCGGACGGAGCGGCCGAUGGCAGAUUAGGUGGUUGGUGGGAUAAAAGCUUACCAAGCCGACGAUCUGUAGCUGGUCUGAGAGGAUGAUCAGCCACACGGGGCAUGAGCCCCGGCCCAGCCCCCUAGGGGAGGCAGGAGUGGGGAAUUUUGGCAAAGGGGCGCAACCCUGCCCCAGCCAGGCCGCGGGGAGGAUGAAGGCCUUCGGGUUGUAAACUUCUUUUGUACGGAACAAAAAGCCUUUUUUUAAUACAGGGGGGUCAUGGCGGUCCCGUAAGAAUAAGCCCCGGCUAAUUCCGU